rnacentral:rRNA from 1 species
ACGGGUGAGUAAUGCAUCGGAACGUGCCCAGUAGUGGGGGAUAGCCCGGCGAAAGCCGGAUUAAUACCGCAUACGACCUACGGGUGAAAGGGGGGGAUCGCAAGACCUCUCGCUAUUGGAGCGGCCGAUGUCAGAUUAGCUAGUUGGUGGGGUAAAAGCCUACCAAGGCGACGAUCUGUAGCUGGUCUGAGAGGACGACCAGCCACACUGGGACUGAGACACGGCCCAGACUCCUACGGGAGGCAGCAGUGGGGAAUUUUGGACAAUGGGCGAAAGCCUGAUCCAGCCAUGCCGCGUGCGGGAAGAAGGCCUUCGGGUUGUAAACCGCUUUUGUCAGGGAAGAAAUCCUUUGGGCUAAUACCCCUGGGGGAUGACGGUACCUGAAGAAUAAGCACCGGCUAACUACGUGCCAGCAGCCGCGGUAAUACGUAGGGUGCAAGCGUUAAUCGGAAUUACUGGGCGUAAAGCGUGCGCAGGCGGUUAUGCAAGACAGAUGUGAAAUCCCCGGGCUCAACCUGGGAACUGCAUUUGUGACUGCAUAGCUGGAGUGCGGCAGAGGGGGAUGGAAUUCCGCGUGUAGCAGUGA